rnacentral:rRNA from 1 species
GAUGAACGCUGGCGGCGUGCUUAACACAUGCAAGUCGAACGGAAAGGCCAGUGCUUGCACUGGUACUCGAGUGGCGAACGGGUGAGUAACACGUGGGUGAUCUGCCCUGCACUUCGGGAUAAGCCUGGGAAACUGGGUCUAAUACCGGAUAGGACAAUGGUUUGGAUGCCGUUGUGGAAAGUUUUUUCGGUGUGGGAUGAGCUCGCGGCCUAUCAGCUUGUUGGUGGGGUAAUGGCCUACCAAGGCGUCGACGGGUAGCCGGCCUGAGAGGGUGUACGGCCACAUUGGGACUGAGAUACGGCCCAGACUCCUACGGGAGGCAGCAGUGGGGAAUAUUGCACAAUGGGCGCAAGCCUGGUGCAGCGACGCCGCGUGGGGGAUGACGGCCUUCGGGUUGUAAACUCCUUUCGCUAGGGACGAAGCGUAUUUGUGACGGUACCUGGAGAAGAAGCACCGGCUAACUACGUG